CAACAAUAGCAAAUCCUAAGAAACUCUGAAAUUUGUCUACUUUCAAUGGGAAUACAUAUUUGAAAGUAUGUCAAUCUUGUGAUAAAAGUUAUAAGAAUACAAAUAGAUAUUAAAUUGUCUUCAGUCAUGAACCAAAACAAUUAUAGUGAUAGAUUUAUAAACUUAUAAAUCUGUUUUUCUCACUCAGUUGCAGCUGAAGAACAGAAGUAGCACCAUCGAAUCAGUCACCAUAUGUCACUGUAUCCUUGUGAUGAACAAUAAAAUUGGAAAAUAUUAAGCUUAAAAUUAACAACAUUUAAAACAUCUUAAGGGGGAACGAUUUCGGCAUCAGAUCCUUGCAUCAGAAAUUUGCAAUGUCAUGUUUCUGAAUACUCUGCACAAGAUCUACAAAUAAGAUUUUGGGUUAAAUGAAGAUCUAUCGUUUGUGUGUUUCUUUCCCACGGAGACAAAUAGAAGCACAUCUGGGCUGCUGGAACAUGCUCAGUCAUGUCCACAGAUCAGCUUUAAGAAGAAUUUUUAAGAAGGAAAAAAAUCAAAGAAAAGAAUGAAAAAAUGUCACAUUCUUGCAUCCAAAAAGACUGAGUGAGAACAUCAGUGUAAAUUAAAGUUGGCAGCAAAAGGAAUCUCAAUGUGCUCUAAGAAAUAACUUCUUCAUGCUGGUGAGUGAGUCAUUUCAUGUAGACUAUGGUGAUUGGAAAAACUAACUUCAUGAAAGCCAAAAGGAUGAGUUUCAGAGUGAGAAUGCAUAUUUAGGUACCCGUCUACACUGAAUUUGUCAUACCUCUCAUAGCAUCAGAUGGGUCUAUUGAGGAAGUUUCUCUUGCCCUGCUAAGAUUCUUUUCCUUGUCACUGUUGGAAUGAUUUCUGUGGGGAAGAUAGCAAAAUUUUUCACACAUUUAGCAUAAUCAUAGACCUUGAGAUGUUUUCCUGGCUAUCACUUGAACUUUUUUCAGAAAACUGGUUUUGGCCGCAGUCAAAGAAUGCUUUCUCACAAGGUUAGAGGGCAGUCAUUUCCAUUACAAAGGCAUAAAAUAAGGAGAAUAGAAAAAGCCCUCUAAAAAAAUCUGUAGUAUUUCCUUCUCUGUGGAGAAAAAGAGUAAUUGAUUUUAAUCACAUGGUAUGUGCUUGACAUGUGAAUAUAUUGAACUAAUCACUUCCCAAAGGCACAUACGGUCCCGCAAUAAAGAGAGGUGAUGCCCUGUCUUGGGAGUAGUA
rnacentral:lncRNA from 1 species